rnacentral:rRNA from 1 species
CCUACGGGAGGCAGCAGUGGGGAAUAUUGGACAAUGGGGGCAACCCUGAUCCAGCCAUGCCGCGUGUGUGAAGAAGGCCCUCGGGUUGUAAAGCACUUUCAGUGAGGAAGAACGCCUGGUGGUUAAUACCCAUCAGGAAAGACAUCACUCACAGAAGAAGCACCGGCUAACUCCGUGCCAGCAGCCGCGGUAAUACGGAGGGUGCGAGCGUUAAUCGGAAUUACUGGGCGUAAAGCGCGCGUAGGUGGCUUGAUAAGCCGGUUGUGAAAGCCCCGGGCUCAACCUGGGAACGGCAUCCGGAACUGUCAAGCUAGAGUGCAGGAGAGGAAGGUAGAAUUCCCGGUGUAGCGGUGAAAUGCGUAGAGAUCGGGAGGAAUACCAGUGGCGAAGGCGGCCUUCUGGACUGACACUGACGCUGAGGCGCGAAAGCGUGGUUAGCAAACAGGAUUAGAUACCCCAGUAGUC